AGUGAACGCUGGCGGCAGGCUUAACACAUGCAAGUCGAGCGAGCGGCGGACGGGUGAGUAAUGUCUGAGAAACUGCCUGAUGGAGGGGGAUAACUACUGGAAACGGUAGCUAAUACCGCAUACCAUCAGAUGGGCCCAGAUGGGAUUAGCUAGUAGGGGGGGUAAUGGCUCACCUAGGCGACGAGCCCUAGCUGGUCUGAGAGGAUGACCAGCCACACGUGAACUGUGACACGGUCCGGACUCCUACGGGAGGCAGCAGUGGGGAAUAUUGCACAAUGGGCGCAAGCCUGCUGCAGCCAUCCCGCUGAUUUGAAGAAGGCCUUCGGGUUGGAAAGCACUUUCAGCGAGGAGGCGUUACUCGCAGAAGAAGCACCGGCUAACUCCGUGCCAGCAGCCGCGGUAAUUC
rnacentral:rRNA from 1 species